GGGCAGUUAGCUCAGUUGGUAGAGCCCCUGGUUUACACCCAGGUUGUCGGGAGUUCGAGUCUCUCACUGCCCACCA
rnacentral:tRNA from 1 species